AAGGAAGUGACUGACCGGCCUGAUGAAACACUCCUCGCCUGAUGCCCUGCAACAUUAGUAAGCUCGAUGGCAGUUGAGAGUCAGGCCUUUAUUUACAUGGCUGCCUGAGACGGACGAACUCUGGGAUGCUCCACUCCACCCAUCCAUGAAGGGCCUGCUACCUACAUCCCUCUUGCUGAUGACAAGGUGAAAGGGCAGAGAGAUGAGAACGUGGGCUCCCUGCAAGGAAGAGCUGUAUCCCCAGGACUAGGAUGAUGCCCAUGCCCAACAAUUGCCAUUUUACCAGUGAGGAAACUCAGAGAGGGCAAGUGCCGUCCACAGGCUCACUUGGCUAGUUCGGAUGAAGCCACAAACAGAGCCUCUCCCUGAGCCUAGGCUCCCUGGUCAGCUUAGCUGAAUUAAUUAAUGCACUUCUGUGGAGAAGAAAUGACUAGUUCCCUGGACACUAAAUGCCACCACUGGCUCGCAGUUUGGAGCCAUGGUAUGAGAACAACUGAAUUUGCACACAGCUUGCACUUUGAGAAGCAAGAGAGAACUUCCUCCUUGAGGGAGGGGAGGACAUCUCCUCCCUGACAGGGUGAGGCAGCCAUGCCCUCCCCAACCAAGCUCCCUUAGCUAGAAGGCUGUGUGAGAAAAUUCUCAGCUCCAGUGAGAGUAUCAGUGACUUUACUUCUGGCUCUGCCACCACUGCCCCAGCCAACCCUGGGACUACAGUCUUGGAGUAAGGUGUGGCCAGUGAAGAAGGUUCCAUAACUCCUUUGUGCUGAAGAAAAGGAUGAGGGGUGGAGUGAAUCACUGCCCUGUUCUGGCCCCGGAGCAGCAUGGCUAAUGGGAGCAGGCGCCCUCCUCUUGUGACGUGACCCCAGAGGUCAAGAGUAUCAAGAGCUAGAGACCCCAGAGCGGAAAGGAAAUCCCAGAAACUGCUACACUUGGCUCUCCCUUCCUUCAGAAAGAAACUUCAUGGUGUGAGCUGGGCACCUUCAUGCGGUCGAUUUCAGGGAUUGAGGAACCCUUACCGACCGUGGUGCUGUGGUGUGAAUCUUCAAUGCUCCCAGCUUCCUCGUGCACGAGGGGAUGGAUGUGAGGAGAGAGAUUCACAACAUCUCAAAGGGCUGAGAAUUACUGCUGGGUGCUCAGCCCUAAGUGACAUCUACACUGCAAGGUGGAGGAGACAUUGUAGGAGAGGGUUCAAAAGGAACAGAAGAGCCAGAGGGGAAGAAGCUGUGAAACGCUCUCUGCUCGACAGGACACAGGUGUUGCACUCAUGAACCCACGGCAGCUACGGUUACCUGCAUGAGUGCUUACCUGCAUGAUACCCACACAAGACCAGGCCUGCCAGCAUUCCUACCUGAAUAAGGGAGAGGCUCAGGAGGCCCCACCCCUGCCUGAGGAAACAUGAGCAAAUGGUGUCUGGGGGAGGGGAAGGCAUGUUGUUCCCUGCUGUCGCCACUGCUGAGUUACCAUUGGUGGAGUAAAUACCCCCACCCACGUUCAUGCAAGCUCAGCCUUCUAACACACGGGCCUCUAUGGAGCAUCGAAGAUCUAAACUAUAACACCAUGUUUUUAAAAAGUUAAUUCAUGGCUUCCCACUUUUAUUCCUGUCUGCUCAUUUAACCCUUAAGUGUUCUUUUGGGUGAUAAUUAAAACUUUAAAAACCAAGAAUGGUUUUUAAGCUUCACGAGAGCUUAC
rnacentral:lncRNA from 1 species